rnacentral:rRNA from 1 species
AUGAAUCAGACCGGGGCAACACACCUGACACGCCAUCAAACUCCAUAUCUAGCACUCACCACGACUAAGACGCCGAAGGAGGAAACCAUACCUGCCAUCCACGAACCACGAACUCAGCACACGUUCCGUCUUCCAUAUGUCGUCGAUGCAGACCACAAUCUGCAUCCGCUCCUGGACUACUUCCAAAGCUCCGCGCCGACGCUGGAGCAAAUGUCGUCGCAACGGCAGAGCCCGAGGACACAGGUCCACCACGAGGAUGCCGCCACCGCCACGCCAUCCUUUAUUGAACAGACUGAUUUACAAAUCCAUCUCCAACAAUAG